rnacentral:rRNA from 1 species
UUUCGAAUUAUUCACAAUGGGCGAAAGCCUGAUGGUGCGACGCCGCGUGGGGGAUGAAGGUCCUUGGAUUGUAAACCCCUGUCACCGGGGAAGAAAAAGUGCAUUUUAACAGAAUGCACUCUGACUUAACCCGGAGAGGAAGCAGUGGCUAACUCUGUGCCAGCAGCCGCGGUAAUACAGAGACUGCAAGCGUUAUUCGGAUUCACUGGGCGUAAAGGGUGCGCAGGCGGCCAGGUGUGUUAGGCGUGAAAGCCCGUCGCUCAACGACGGAAUUGCACCUAAAACUAUCUGGCUAGAGUACUGGAGAGGGUAGUGGAAUUCACGGUGUAGCAGUGAAAUGCGUAGAUAUCGUGAGGAACACCAAUGGCGAAGGCAACUACCUGGACAGUUACUGACGCUC